rnacentral:snRNA from 1 species
GACAGCAGGACGGUGGUCA